GGAGAAGUGGGAGAGUGGCCGAAUCCAGCACCUUGCUAAGGUGUCGUACCCUUACGGGUACCGCGAGUUCAAAUCUCGCCUUCUCCGCCA
rnacentral:tRNA from 3 species